rnacentral:rRNA from 1 species
GACGAACGCUGGCGGCGUGCUUAACACAUGCAAGUCGAACGGAAAGGCCCUGCUUUUGUGGGGUGCUCGAGUGGCGAACGGGGGAGUAACACGUGAGUAAACUGCCCUUGACUUUGGGAUAACUUCAGGAGACUGGGGCUAAUACCGGGUAUGAGCUCCUGCUGCGUGGUGGGGGUUGGAAAGUUUCGGCUGUUGGGGAUGGACUCGAGGCUUAUCAGCUUGUUGGUGGGGUAGUGGCUUACCAAGGCUUUGAUGGGUAGCCGGCCUGAGAGGGUGACCGGCCACCUUGGGACUGCGAUACGCCCCAGACUCCAACGGGAGGCAGCAGUGGGGAAUAUUGCACAGUGGGCGGACGCCUGAUGCAGCAACGCCGCGUGCGGGAUGACGGCCUUCGGGUUGUAAACCGCUUUCACCUGUGACGAAGCGUGCGUGACGGUAAUGGGUAAAGAAGCACCGGCUAACUACGUG